UAACCACCAGGGAAGGCGGUGGUUAAGUUUUCAUUGUUCUGAUUGGAACAGAUCUGAUAUGUCCUCCAUUGGGGGACAACAUAUUAAAUAGAUUUUUAGCACCGGCAGCUGAAAAAGGGGCUUGCUCUGUUACUCCAUGCAUCGACCUGGUAUUGCACUGCUGCCGGGAACGGUACUUUUGCC